rnacentral:rRNA from 1 species
AUGCCUACGAGCUUUUCACAUAUUGCUUUUUGCUUAAUUACUUUACUGUUGCCACUGUUACAAUUACUACAAAACUGCUACGGUUACUUUUGCCACCGUUACCGUUACUUCCAUACUACUUUGCUGUUAAAUAAUUUGCUGCAGAUAUUAAGUUAUUCAGGUGUGGUUGAAUUGACAACCCAACUGCUAAUACUUAAGAAUAUUCUUUGGCUCCCCUUGUGUCGAAUUAAUAAAUUUGGGUUGAAUACUCUACCCUUGAAAACAGUUGCGAUCCUAUAUACUUGUGGGUUAUCAGCUGUGUGUGCUAGCUUUGUACAUAGGUAUUGA